GGGAAAUGGACCUGAGAACUGCAGGGAAAGGAGGAGGCCUAGGUUUGCUGUGCCAGAAAAAAAUGGGCAAUAAAUGAAUUAACCUUCAGAAGAGGCGCAGAAACCCAGGCAUCCAGACAAAGAGGGAAUUGAUUGUCGGGAGGUAUCUUGUGCCUGUUUCCUAAGUUUACAGUUUUGUGGUGAGCCAGCCCUCCUCGACUGCUUGUCACAUGCAGACUCGGCUUUCCUGGAAUGUCAGACAGCAGCACUCGCACCUCCGCAAUGUUGGGGGACAUCACCCAAGAAAUCAGUUGUCUUGAACAGUGCAAGUCUGACAACAAAUACCCGGAGUUCAGAGGAACACAUACAAGUUCAUUAAAUAAGCAGAAAAAAAGUGUGUGAUGAAAAGG